rnacentral:tRNA from 1 species
GGGCCCGUAGCUCAGUGGAUAGAGCGGCUGCCUUCUAAGCAGCGGGUCACAGGUUCGAAUCCUGUCGGGCCCG